rnacentral:misc_RNA from 1 species
GGAGGAAGUAGCUAAUUCAUGCAAUAGUUGCUUACUAUAAUAUUAAUAUAUGGUCCCACCUGUCAUACACACACUACGUUUUGGAGUCCGUGCUGUAGCCAGCAACAGAUCUGUAGCCCGCUGCUCUUCUCUCUCAUCUUUUUUCUCAUUAAAAUAUGUUUAUAGCUGGCUAAUUAGCAAGCUACAGAUCUGUAGCUAGCUACAGCACGGACUCCAAAACACAGUGUGUGUAUAACAGGUGGGACCAUAUAUUAAUAUUAUAGUAAGCAACUAUUGUAUGAAUUGGCUAUUAGAUUGAC